rnacentral:snRNA from 1 species
UUCAACAAAAGAUCAAAACAAAU